GACGAACGCUGGCGGCGUGCUUAACACAUGCAGGUCGAACGAUGAACCCGGAGCUUGCUCCGGUGGAUUAGUGGCGAACGGGUGAGUAACACGUGAGUAACCUGCCCUUGACUCUGGGAUAACUGCGGGAAACUGUAGCUAAUACCGGAUACGACCCUCGGCGGCAUCGCCAGGGGGUGGAAAGAAGUUCAGUCAAGGAUGGACUCGCGGCCUAUCAGCUAGUUGGGGAGGUAACGGCUCACCAAGGCGACGACGGGUAGCCGGCCUGAGAGGGCGACCGGUCACACUGGGACUGAGACACGGCCCAGACUCCUACGGGAGGCAGCAGUGGGAAAUAUUGCGCAAUGGGCGAAAGCCUGACGCAGCGACGCCGCGUGAGGGAUGAAGGUCUUCGGAUCGUAAACCUCUUUCAGUAGGGACGAAGCGAAAGUGACGGUACCUAAAGAAGAAGCACCGGCUAACUACGUGCCAGCCGCCGCGGUAA
rnacentral:rRNA from 1 species